GUUGCCUCUCGUCCUGAAUGAUUGCUCCAUUGCACUUUCACAUAGGGAAUAGUGCGAUUUCGCAAUUCCUUCACUUCGCGAUCCAAAAUACAUAUUGGGUAUUCUUCAUAAGUCAUAUUCUCCUGCAAAUCCACUGGUUCGAACUCUAGAACAUGCCCUGAAUGAUGCACAUAUUUUCGGAGAUUCGAAACAUGAAAUACAUUGUGUAUUCCUUCAAACUUCGGCGGUAAAGCCAAUCGAUAAGCUACUGCUCCCACUCGCUCUAGAAUCUCGUAAGGUCCAAUGUAUCGAGGACUAAGCUUCCCUCGAACACCAAAUCUCUUUAUCCCGCGCAUUGGCGAUACUUUCAAGAACACCUUAUCGCCAACCGCAAACUCCAAGUUCUUUCGGCGCUUAUUGGCAUAACUUUGUUGCCGUGACUGGGCCGUCAACAAUCUCUGGCGGACUAGGCGUACCUUUUCCUCCGCCUCUUGGAGUACAUCAGGACCAAGAACCAUUCUUUCUCCUACUUCACUCCAAUGGAUAGGGGAUCGACACUUUCUCCCGUAGAGAGCUUCAAACGGUGCCAUUGCGAUGCUUUCCUGAUAACUAUUAUUAUAUGCAAACUCAGCCAUUGCUAAGGAAUCAUGCCAACUCCCUCUGAAGUCAAGUACACACGCACGUAGCAUGUCCUCCAAAAUCUGAAUCGUUCUCUCAGACUGUCCAUCGGUCUGAGGAUGAAAAGCUGUACUAAAAUCAAGACGUGUGCCAAGAGCAUCCUGUAAACUCCUCCAGAAGUGGGAUGUAAACCGCGGGUCUCGAUCAGAUACAAUCGACGUCGGGACUCCGUGUAAUCUCACAAUCUCGUCGAGGUACACCUGUGCCAACUUGUCCCCUGACCAAGUAACAUGAAUCGGCAAGAAAUGCGCCGAUUUCGUCAAUCGAUCAACAAUCACCCAAAUGGUAUCAUGUCCAGCCUGUGAUCGAGGUAAUCCAACAACGAAGUCCAUCGCAAUGUUCUCCCACUUCCAAACUGGAAUAGGCAAGCUCUGUAACUUUCCUGCGGGAAAUCUGCGCUCAGCUUUAACUUGCUGACAAGUCAAACACUGCGCUACAAACUGCCCAACAUCCUUCUUCAUUCCAGGCCACCAAUAAUGCACUUUAAGAUCUUUGUACAUCUUAGUGCCACCUGGAUGUACACUAUAAGGUGACUGAUGAGCUUCCUGUAGCAUAGCCCUCUGAACCUCCUCGUCUUUAGGUACGCACAACCGGUUACGAAACCGAAGUGCACCGUCAGAUCCCACUGUAAAAUCAUCCCCUCGCCCGUUCUCAGCUUCACACCGUACUUUUUGGAGAUACGGAUCUAAAGACUGCCGAUCUUUAAUCUGUUCCAACAAAGUCGGUUGAACAACUAGGGCGGCAAGAAUAGCCGGUACAUCUGGAGCUACUACCUCAAGAUCAAACUGCCGCAUUUCAUUCUGCAACGACGGUUGAUGCGUGAUCAUCAUAGCCAGGUUCUCCACUGACUUCCUACUCAAUGCAUCCGCGACCACAUUCGCCUUUCCUGGGUGGUAUAGAAUAUUAACGUCAUAAUCUUUCAACAAUUCUAACCACCGGCGUUGUCGCAUAUUCAGCUCUUUCUGGGUGAAUAAAUACUUCAGGCUCUUGUGGUCAGUAUAAAUCUCACAAUGCUCGCCAUAAAGAUAAUGUCUCCACAACUUCAGUGCGAAGAUCACCGCCGCCAGUUCCAAAUCAUGAAUAGGAUAAUUCUUUUCAUAGUUCUUCAGCUGGCGAGACGCAUAAGCAAUCACUCGACCACCCUGCAUAAGCACACACCCAAGCCCACUGUAGGAAGCGUCGCUAUAAACCACAUAACUCUCCCCUGAAACCGGCAAUGCAAGAAUAGGCGCCGAAGUCAACCUUUCUUUUAAGUCCCGAAAGCUUCGAUCACAUUCUUCACUCCAAACAUACUUAACUCCUUUAUGUGUCAGGCGCGUUAGUGGAGUAGUAAUCUUCGCGAAUCCCUCCACGAACCGCCUAUAGUACCCUGCUAAUCCAAGGAAACUGCGGAUCUCCACAACUGUCGUAGGGCGAGGCCAAUCUUUAAUUGCCUCCACUUUCUUUGGGUCGACAGAAACACCACCCUCAGAAAUCACGUGCCCUAGAAAUGCCACCUCUCGUAGCCAGAAUUCACAUUUCUUCAAUUUCGCAUACAGCUGAUGCUCCCGCAGAAUCUGCAUCACUGUUCUCAAGUGUUUCUCGUGCUCUUCAUUGCUUCGGGAAAAGAUUAGAAUAUCAUCUAUGAACACCACUACACACUGAUCCAACAACGGCUUAAAAACCCUGUUCAUCAGAUCCAUGAACGCUGCCGGGGCGUUGGUAAGCCCAAACGGCAUCACUGUGAACUCGUAAUGCCCAUAACGAGUGCGAAACGCUGUCUUAUGCACAUCCUCUGGUUUGAUCUUCAAUUGGUGGUAACCCGAUUGAAGAUCAAUCUUCGAAUACACCCGUGAACCUUGCAACUGAUCAAAUAAGUCAUCGAUUCGCGGCAACGGAUAUUUAUUCUUGAUCGUGACCUUGUUCAGUUCACGGUAAUCGACACACAGUCGAAGCGUUCCGUCUUUCUUCUUCACAAACAAAACAGGAGCUCCCCAGGGUGAUACACUAGGCUUCACAAAGCCUUUAUCCAUCAAAUCCUGCAACUGAGCUUUCAGUUCUCUCAACUCAGCUGGUGCCAUUCUGUACGGAGCCUUCGAAAUUGGCGCCGUUCCGGAAACCAAGUCAAUAACGAACUCAAUUUCCCGAUCCGGCGGCAAUCCCGGCAGCUCCGCAGGAAAUACAUCAGGAAACUCUCGAACCACUGGAAUAUCUCCAAGCGCUGGAAGUUCCUUCUGAGUCUCCACCACUGUUGCCAAAUAGGCUACACAUCCUCUACUAAUCAACUUUCUCGCCCUCGUAGUCGAUACAGUUAGUGCAAAGAGCGAACUCUUGCAUCCUCGAUAUACAACCUCCUUCUGCUCAGGUUCACGAAAAGUAAUAAUUUUACUUUCGCAAUCAAUUGUGGCAUAGUACUUUGUAAGCCAAUCCAUCCCAAGGAUUAUAUCAAAACCUUUCAUUAGCUUCAACACUAACAAAUCAGCUGGCAUAAUCCAAUCUCCAAUCUGUACUGGACACGCCGCACAUUCCUCGUGAACACUAAACGUGUGCUCAGGAGCAUAGACCCACCAGGCAUCUGGUCUAUCCGAAAUCUCAAAAUCAUGUGUUCUAGCAAAUGAACUACUAAUAAAGGAAUGAGAUGCACCGGUAUCAAACAAUGUGCGAGAUCUAAUGCCAUAAAGUAAAGUAAUACCUGCCACGACAUCGUCGACCACGGCAGGAUCCUCAGCCUGAGCUGCAAAUACUCGUCCACUCUGUGCAGGUCGAGACGCCUCAGUCCUGGUACUCGGUGCAGGUCGGGGUGGCUCAUACUGACGCGACGCAAAAGAACGUCCAGCUGACAUAGCGGGUGGGGGACCCGCACGCUGCCUCGCAGAAGACUGAGCGGAAGCUGUAGACUGCGCGGAUGAUGCUCCCCUCGGGCAAUCACGAACCAUAUGUCCCGGCUGUCCACACUUAAAACAUUUACCAUCCCGCUGUGGACAAGUCGUCACUCGAUGGUUCCCGCCACAAAUGACACACCUCUGGGGUCCCUGAUACCUCUGCUGUGGCCGUGGAUACCGAGGGGGCCGUUUGGAGCUCGACUGUCCCCCGGCACUAGUAGUCCUUUUCUUUCCCUUUUCUCUUUCUCGCUCUCGAUCAAACGACUCGCGUUCCUCACGCGCAAUCGCAUUGCUGCGCUCCACCCAAAGAGCUCGAUCCAGGACUUCCUCAAAUGACUUUAACUUAGAGCACUAAUGAUCCUGAAUAUUUCAGGCCGUAAUCCCCGCUCAAAGUAGUCAGCUCUAUCUCGAUCUGUAUGCACCAUUCCGGGUACACAGUUUACUAAAUGUGUAAACUCCCGCUCGUAUUCCCGUACCGAACGGUUUCCCUGUCUUAACUUUCGAAAGUCUUCUUUCAUUUUCCUUCUGUCACUAUCAGGGAAGUACUCUGCAAACAGGAUCUCUCUGAACUCAUCCCAGGAAAGCAAGGAGGGAUUUAGAACUCGGCUUUUCUUCGCUUUUUGCCACCAAAUCUGCGCAUCCUUCUCAAAGCAAUGUGCAGCUAAAUGAACCUUGUCCUUUUCCAAUGUAUAGAUAUCCUCAAACAGAGCUUCCAUCGCUGUGAACCAGGUCUCCAACACCCAAGGAUCGGCCUCCUUUCCAUCAAACAUUGGCGGAUUAAACCGCAAGAACGCCGUCAACACUGAUAAGGAUCGCUCGUGCUCGGCCCUCAACGCGGCCGAAUCAGAACUAGAAGGCCCUGAGACCACUGGGGGAACCAUCACUGGAGGAGGGGGCACUAUCACUGGCGGAUCAGGUAUAGGCGCAUCCUGACUCCCAGAUGCUGCAGUUGUCGCCUGUUGCGACACUAGGUCCUGUAAUCUCUUAAUGUUCUCCUCCUGCCUCUGCAUAGAUCCAACCAACGCGCUCACCUGAGCGCGCAGCUCCUGAACCUCGCUAGAUCCCUCCUGAUCUGGCACCCCAGGAGGUGAUGCCGGAGCGGAUCUCGUCGCACGCCGUGGCGGCAUUUCUCCUGAAACGAACUAUUCACAUUAGUAAACAAAACCAAUCAGGCGAAAGCAAUCAAGUGUAUUUAUACUCAACUCUUAGCUUUAUGUUGUUGGCCACCCAACAUAACUCUUUUAGUUGUGUAUAAACAACACUUGGAUCAGCCCCUAAUUCACAUUAGAGACUUACUAACAACUAACCCAAUUCAUUCAGCUUUCGCUAUCAUUAGAUUCACGCCACUCGCGUUCCUAGUUCCUAGGUUUCCAUUCCUAAGUCCCCUAGGUCACUCUAGAUUUUUUACUGUCACUUGCUCUGAUACCACUUUAUCUGUCACGUCCCGCUAUCGCCAAUUUGGUCGAUCCGGGCCCGUACACAGACGCCGAACGAACAGCACCUCCCCUGUUCGUCCAAGGCUAAACCACAACGAGUACAUGUAUAAAGAAAUAAACAAUUCCCAAGAUCACAUUUCAGUAUACAUGGCUUGCACGAAGGCAAGCAACAAUCACAAGUGAUAGUAAAGCUAGCUAAACAUGAAAAUCACUGUAAUUUAAAACUUUCAAACUGAACUUUGCAUAACUGAGUAUGAAAGCAUUUAGUUAUUUACAUAUUCUAUAAUACAUGCAUUUACAUGUCUCUGUACAUCAAACUAGAUGAUACAUGAAGCCAAAAUGGUAAACUACUAGAACUCUGGUGUCAGCUAGCUAAGCUGCGGGGCCCUUGCCGCGAUCCAUGGCCACAACGCUCGCACUGGAACCUGUAUGGUUAGUGGUGUGAGAACUACAAGAAAGUUCCCAGUGGGUUCGGCCACCGACCUCGCCGACUCACCCACUAGGUCUAUUCAGGCAUAUGUAGGCAAGAAAAGUAACACAGAUAGUAACCAACUGUACAUGUAACUACUACAAUGCCUGUACAAGCUGAAAGAAAGCAAUAUAGGAAAACUGUAAAUAUGCAUGCAUGCUUUUAUUGAAUUUACCCAAUUCACUGGUUAACCCUUGGUUAACAAUAACUCACUGACACUAUCCCAGACAUCGGGGAGACGCAACCUGCACCCGACGGGACUGUCAACUGGGGGAGACGCAACCUCCUGGUCCAGUAAAGAUGACUACUCUGGAGCUCAUCGUUCAAGGAGGAGCGACCUACCUUGAACCAAAUGAAUGUGAGUAUGAUCUGAUCCCCCUUUAGAGGAUUCAACUGACAAACAUUGUCACACUUUACUCUAACUAGUUCUUUAUACUAGUUUCACAAUUCCAUUUCUCGAUGCUAACCAAUCUCUAGUUGAAUGUCACCAAGUUCACUAUUGUUAUAGUCCAAGCAUUCAUAGGGUUCUAUGUCCAUAUUCUAAAGUUCACAAAUUCUCACUGUUGACAGAAAUUCAUACUUUCAUUUGCACAAUGCCAAUACCCUAUAAUGCAUGACUACAUUACAAUUAUGCUCAAUGAAUAAUCAUAGACAUAAAAGGUGAUUCAAAGACUUCGGAUAGCACCACCCACCUGUAGUGGUGUCGCAAAUCAAAUCUCACAUCUCGAAGUGAAUCCACGAGGGUAUCUCACGACUAGAAGCAAAUAGAGCCAAAAUGGCUUCUAUCGUAGUUAGUGCGUCACCGACCUGUCGGAAAGUCAAUUUAGACUUUUGGGCAAGUUUAACCUUUAUUUAUAAAGUAACAAACGAGACUAAACUAGAGUCAUUCUUCAUAUUUUACAAGUUAGCAUUUCGAUGCCACUUAAAGUGUCAACUUAAGGUUAAUUUCAGCAUUAAGCUGAAUUCUUGCUUCUAGUUGAAUUCAUGCUGAAAUCUGCUCCAUUUGCAAUCACUUCAGCAUUCUAACAAUUUAAACUUAAUCCCAAUCAUAAUCUCUUUAUAUUUAUGUUCAUUUGCUGCUCAACUCAUCUGAUCUCAGCUCCAACAGUAAUGCUUUCCAAUGCUGAAAUCCUGCGCUAGCUGAAAUUUCAGCACUUUGCUUCUGUUAGUGUAGCCACUAUAAGCAAAGAACAAUUAGUUCUAUCAUUAGUGCUUUCCUUGGAGUAUUACUGCUGAUCUAGGAGUUAACAUUAAUCUUAUUUAAGAUUAAAACUCAACUAAGUUUUAUUUCAGCUCUCAUAAUUAAGGUCAUGCUGAGCUUCGUCUCAUUUUAAUAACAAGUGCUGAAAUUCAGUUCAUGCUGAAUUUUCUGCAUUCGUACUUUACAAUUUACCUAGAAGUUACCUUUAUAACACUUCACAUCACCCACUCUAAAUACAGGUAUUAUGCUUACACAAAUUAGAACUUCUCUAAGUUGUUCUCAGCUCUUUAGAGCUUCUUUCAGCUGAUUUCCUGAAUCAGCAUCUCCAAUAGGCCCAAUUAGAUCCUAUUUUCAUGCAAUUAACUUGUCUAUAAUUACCAUUAGCACAAUUUUACCUUAAUUAGGUAUACUGCCAGGGAGAUCUUAGCUUCAACUCUCAACUUGAUGCUGAAUUACUUGUUCACUGCAUCAAAUAAUCCAGCCCUUCAUGUCGACAACACCAUUAACCCCAAUUCCUUCCAUUCGACAGCCUCAAUAAGCCAAGCCCCAAAUUCUGUCACUCCCUGCUUUAUCAUCAGCAACAGAGUUGCUUACAACUCUCUUUAAAGUAGGUAGCUUAAUUCUAAUCAAAUAUAAACCCCACUUACUUUAAUGUAAGCUUCCACCAGAUUGUUCUCAGCUCAAAAGACCCAAGCUUCUUGCUUGAUAGCUCCAACAGCAGGGAUAUCUUCCUUCAGUUGCUUUUCUUGCUCGAACAACCUCACAGCAUCAAUACCCAAUUCCUAAAUCCAAAGCUUUCUCAAGAUUUCGCAGCUCCCAAUUUCUUCUCCUCAGCUGGAAUUAAACCAAUUUCCUGCUCUCAACGCAAAACACAAGAAUUCAACUCCAUCAGCCAAGAAACACCUACUUAAACCAUUUCUAGGCAACUAACUUGACUAGAAGCAAUUAUUAAUCAAACUUACCUUAACUAGAGACCUUAUCUAAUUGAUCUCAGCACCAACAUCACCAACAGCACAAGUUUGCUGCUCCAACAACAGGAAUUCAGCUCAGAUUUCAGAUUUGCACUUGCUUCUUCACUAAUUCCCUCUCUCACAGCUCCUACACAUAGAAUAACACUUAUACUGCUUACUCUCUGUUUAAAGUAACUAAAAUUACUUACUUAAAUCAGGGAUCUUACCUUAAUAUAGAGAUCUCUCCAAUUAGUCCCCUGCUCUCAGCUCAACACAAGGAAAAACUCAAGUCCAUCAGCUUUCACUAGCCUAGAGAGAGAGAAAGAGAAGAAAAUAGAUGAUAAGGAGAGAAGAGAAAUGGAAUCUCUGCCUUGGGACAGGUGUAUUCCACUAAGGGUGAAGGGAUAAGUCCAGAAAAUGCAGCUUAGCCCCUGAAAAUUGCAAAAGUGCAUUGCAACCUGCAGAUUUACAUUUCAGUCCCUGCAGUCUCGCAAUUCAGUCCCUGCACUAAACAACUAGCUGCAGCAGCACUUUGAAGCUUGUUUUGCCCAUCCAACUCACUUCAAGCCCACUCAAGCACUUCCAAAUUACACUAAUAUACCUCUACAAGUUGUCAAAUUAAUUUGGAAGCAAUUAAUUUCCACUUUGGCAUCAUGUUGAUCAUUUUGAUCAACAUUAACUAGGAAUUUCAGCAUCAAGUAAUCAUGGCAAUUGAAGGUCUUUUGCUACUUCGAAUCCAUUCUUAUCCAUUCUCACAUUUCCAAAAUGUGCCAAGGACUAAUCUCAAGCUUCUAAUUAGGCUUAAGAUUGCUUAAUUUCCAUUUUUGCAUUAUUGUGAUCACUUUAGUCACAAUUAGCUCGAGAGAGAUUUUCAAUACAUUACAAUCUCCCCUCCUUAAAUAGUCGUCCUCGAAACUUAAAUUCAUACCAAGUUUUCUGGAUGAAUAGAUGGGAUAGGCUUCACGCAUGGCAUCUUCCAAUUCCAAGUGGCCUCUCGUCCGAGUGAUACUCCAUUGCACUUUCACAUAGGGAAUAGUGCGAUUUCGCAAUUCUCGCACAUCACGAUCAAGAAUACUUACUGGAUAUUUUCAUAAGUCAUAUCCUCCUGUAGAUCCACAGGCUCGUAUUCCAUAACAUGUCCUGGUGAUGCACAUACUUGCGGAGAUUUGAAACAUGAAAUACAUUGUGAACUCCUUCAAGUUUUGGCGUAGAGCCAAUCUGUAAGCUACUGCUCCAACCCGCUCUAGAAUCGUAAGUCCAAUGAUAUCGAGGACUAAGCUUUCCUCGAACUCCAAAUCUUUUCAUUCCCCGCAUUGGUGACACCUUCAAUAACACUCGAUCACCCACUGCAAAUUCCAAGUCCUUUCGGCGCUUAUUUGCAUAACUCUGCUGCCGUGACUGGGCCGUCAACAAUCUCUGGCGGAUUAGGCGUACCUUUUCCUCCGCCUCCUGGAGUACCUCAGGACCAAGCACAGUCCUCUCUCCUACCUCACUCCAAUGGAUAGGGGAUCGGCACUUUCUCCCGUACAAUGCUUCAAAUGGUGCCAUUGCGAUGCUUUCUUGAAAACUGUUAUUAUAUGCAAACUCAGCCAUCGCCAAGGAGUCAUGCCAACUCCCUCUGAAGUCAAGCACACACGCCCGUAACAUGUCCUCCAAAAUCUGGAUCGUCCUCUCAGACUGUCCAUCGGUCUGAGGAUGAAAGGCUGUACUAAAGUCAAGACGUGUGCCAAGAGCAUCCUGUAGGCUCCUCCAAAAGUGAGACGUAAACCGCGGAUCUCGAUCAGAUACAAUCGACGUCGGGACUCCGUGUAAUCUCACAACCUCGUCGAGGUAGAUCUGUGCUAACUUGUCCCCUGACCAAGUCACAUGAAUCGGCAAGAAAUGCGCCGAUUUCGUCAAUCGAUCGACAAUCACCCAGAUAGUAUCAUGUCCAGCCUGUGACCUCGGUAAGCCAACAAUAAAGUCCAUCGCAAUGUUCUCCCACUUCCAAACUGGGAUAGGUAAGCUCUGUAACUUUCCCGCGGGAAAUCUGCGCUCAGCUUUCACUUGCUGACAGGUCAAACACUGCGCCACAAACUGUCCCACAUCUUUCUUCAUCCCAGGCCACCAAUAAUGUAC
rnacentral:lncRNA from 1 species